rnacentral:tRNA from 1 species
GGCGGCGUAGCUCAGCUGGUAGAGCAAGGGAUUCAUAAGCCCUGGGUCGACGGUUCGAGUCCGUCCGCCGCCA